GAGCCAGACUCCUACGGGAGGCAGCAGUGAGGAAUAUUGGUCAAUGGCCGGAAGGCUGAACCAGCCAAGCCGCGUGAAGGACGAAGGUGCCAAGCAUUGUAAACUUCUUUUGUCAAGGGACAAAAUCAGGCUCGAGAGCCUGACCGAGGGUACUUGAAGAAAAAGCAUCGGCUAACUCCGUGCCAGCAGCCGCGGUAAUACGGAGGAUGCGAGCGUUAUCCGGAUUUAUUGGGUUUAAAGGGUGCGUAGGCGGGCUGUUAAGUCAGCGGUCAAAUGUCGGGGCUCAACCCCGGCCGGCCGUUGAAACUGGCGUGCUCGAGUUGGAGAGAAGUAUGCGGAAUUCGUGGUGUAGCGGUGAAAUGCAUAGAUAUCACGAAGAACCCCGAUUGCGAAGGCAGCAUACCGGCUCCACACUGACGCUGAGGCACGAAAGCGUGGGUAUCGAACAGGAUUAGAUACCCCAGUAAAA
rnacentral:rRNA from 1 species